rnacentral:rRNA from 1 species
CAGUCGCCGCGGUAAAACGGAGGGUGCAAGCGUUAAUCGGAAUUACUGGGCGUAAAGCGCACGCAGGCGGUCUGACAAGUCAGAUGUGAAAUCCCCGGGCUUAACCUGGGAACUGCAUUUGAAACUGUCAGGCUGGAGUCUUGUAGAGGGGGGUGGAAUUCCAGGUGUAGCGGUGAAAUGCGUAGAGAUCUGGAGGAAUACCGGUGGCGAAGGCGGCCCCCUGGACAAAGACUGACGCUCAGGUGCGAAAGCGUGGGGAGCAAACAGGAUUAGAUACCCCUGUAGUCCCUGUCUCUUAUAA